GGACCGGGAGAGGCGAGAGAUUAAACGCCGGCGAGCGUGAAGCCUGAGGACGGCGGAGCUAGGUUAACGGAACCUUAUCCCUUUUACAGUCGCCUUAGUUAACGUGUUGUUUUUAAAACUGUUGUGGGUAAACUUUUUAUAGUGACUGACCCCACCCUGAAAGGCCCCGCAUCCAGGAAAAUCCUAUUAGCGCCGUAGAAACCCGUGGGCCAUCUGCGACAUGAUUUUUUUGGAGAGGUUUCAGUACCACCCCGCUGACAGAGCGUUGCAAUUUUCACUGAUUGAUUGAGAUAUCAUUGAUGGCCUAGUGGUUUCAAUGAGAUUCUCACACAUGACUGCCAGAGGUCGCGAG
rnacentral:lncRNA from 1 species